rnacentral:rRNA from 1 species
CAUGGCCUUUUGGUUAAUUAAUUUAAGGUCUAACCUGCCCAAUGAUUUUAAAUUUAAUGGCCGCGGUAUUUUGACCGUGCAAAGGUAGCAUAAUCAUUAGUUUUUUAAUUGAAAGCUGGAAUGAAGGGUUGAAUGAGAAAAUAACUGUCUUUUUAAUAUUUAAUUAAAAUUUUAUUUUUAAGUUAAAAAGCUUAAAUUUUAUUUAUAGACGAGAAGACCCUUUAGAGUUUUAUAUAAUUUUAUUUAAAAAAUUUUUAGUAUUAAUUUAGUUAUAGAUUAGCUUAUAUUUAAUUGGGGUGAUUGAAAAAUUUAAAUAACUUUUUUUUUUAUUAUACAUUCAUAUAUGAUUAAUUGAUCCAUAAAUAAUGAUUAUAAGAUUAAAUUACCUAAGGGAUAACAGCGUUAUUUUUUUUGAGAGUUCUAAUCGAAAAAAAAGAUUGCGACCUCGAUGUUGGAUUAAAAUUAAAUUAUGGUGUAGAGGCUAUAACUUUA